CAGUAGCCGCGGUAAUACGAAGGGGGCUAGCGUUGCUCGGAAUUACUGGGCGUAAAGGGAGCGUAGGCGGGUCGUUUAGUCAGAGGUGAAAUCCCGGGGCUCAACCUCGGAACUGCCUUUGAUACUGGCGACCUUGAGGAUGAGAGAGGUAAGCGGAACUCCGAGUGUAGAGGUGAAAUUCGUAGAUAUUCGGAAGAACACCAGUGGCGAAGGCGGCUUACUGGCCCAUUACUGACGCUGAGGCUCGAGAGCGUGGGGAGCAAACAGGAUUAGAUACCCCGGUAGUCCCUGUCUCUUAUAC
rnacentral:rRNA from 1 species